UGGACCUGGAAGCCAGUUAGUUCCACUGCUUUCUGGACCUGGAAGCCAGUUAGUUCCACUGCUUUCUGGACCUGGAAGCCAGUUAGUUCCACUGCUUUCUGGACCUGAAAGUCAGUUAGUUCCACUGCUUUGUGGACCUGGAAGUCAGUUAGUUCCACUGCUUUCUGGACCUGGAAGCCAGUUAGUUCCACUGCUUUGUGGACCUGGAAGUCAGUUAGUUCCACUGCUUUCUGGACCUGGAAGCCAGUUAGUUCCACUGCUUUCUGGACCUGGAAGCCAGUUAGUUCCACUGCUUUCUGGACCUGGAAGUCAGUUAGUUCCACUGCUUUCUGGACCUGGAAGUCAGUUAGUUCCACUGCUUUCUGGACCUGGAAGUCAGUUAGUUCCACUGCUUUUAUUAAUUGUUCCCCUCUAAUCAGGGACUGAUUUAGACCUGGGACACCACGUGGGUGCAAUUAAUUAUCAGGUAGAACAGAAAACCAUUGGGCUCCGGACCUCGUAGGGUCAAAGUUCAAUAACCCUGCCCUAUACAGCGCACUACUUUUGCCCCUCGCUGGUGAAAUGUGCCCUCCCUGGUCUAAGGUAAUGGGUCCUCCCUGGUCUAAGGUAAUGGGUCCUCCCUGGUCUGUCUAAGGUAAUGGGUCCUCCCUGGUCUGUCUAAGGUAAUGGGUCCUCCCUGGUCUGUCUAAGGUAAUGGGUCCUCCCUGGUCUGUCUAAGGUAAUGGGUCCUCCCUGGUCUGUCUAAGGUAAUGGGUCCUCCCUGGUCUAAGGUAAUGGGUCCUCCCUGGUCUAAGGUAAUGGGUCCUCCCUGGUCUAAGGUAAUGGGUCCUCCCUGGUCUAAGGUAAUGGGUCCUCCCUGGUCUGUCUAAGGUAAUGGGUCCUCCCUGGUCUGUCUAAGGUAAUGGGUCCUCCCUGGUCUAAGGUAAUGGGUCCUCCCUGGUCUAAGGUAAUGGGUCCUCCCUGGUCUAAGGUAAUGGGUCCUCCCUGGUCUGUCUAAGGUAAUGUGUCCUCCCUGGUCUAAGGUAAUGGGUCCUCCCUGGUCUAAGGUAAUGGGUCCUCCCUGGUCUAAGGUAAUGGGUCCUCCCUGGUCUAAGGUAAUGGGUCCUCCCUGGUCUGUCUAAGGUAAUGGGUCCUCCCUGGUCUGUCUAAGGUAAUGGGUCCUCCCUGGUCUGUCUAAGGUAAUGGGUCCUCCCUGGUCUGUCUAAGGUAAUGGGUCCUCCCUGGUCUAAGGUAAUGGGUCCUCCCUGGUCUAAGGUAAUGGGUCCUCCCUGGUCUAAGGUAAUGGGUCCUCCCUGGUCUGUCUAAGGUAAUGGGUCCUCCCUGGUCUAAGGUAAUGGGUCCUCCCUGGUCUAAGGUAAUGGGUCCUCCCUGGUCUGUCUAAGGUAAUGGGUCCUCCCUGGUCUAAGGUAAUGGGUCCUCCCUGGUCUAAGGUAAUGGGUCCUCCCUGGUCUAAGGUAAUGGGUCCUCCCUGGUCUGUCUAAGGUAAUGGGUCCUCCCUGGUCUAAGGUAAUGGGUCCUCCCUGGUCUGUAUAAGGUAAUGGGUCCUCCCUGGUCUGUCUAAGGUAAUGGGUCCUCCCUGGUCUAAGGUAAUGGGUCCUCCCUGGUCUAAGGUAAUGGGUCCUCCCUGGUCUGUCUAAGGUAAUGGGUCCUCCCUGGUCUGUCUAAGGUAAUGGGUCCUCCCUGGUCUAAGGUAAUGCACUGUAAAGGGGAUAGGGAUUAUGGUGUCAUUUGGGAUGUAGCCUCUGUCUCUGUCUCUGUCUCUGUUUAGACAGAUGAGAAACGUUCUGUCUCUGUUUUCAGAUCCCAGCUGACUCAUUUAAUGCAGAGAGUAAACCUAUAGCAUUCCAGAUGUGAUCAUUUCCAGUUAGGGGUUUCCAGUAUUAGCCACAUAUAGCCCUAUAUAUAUUUAAUGUUCUUCACUUUAUCCUUUGAAAAUAGACACAUAAAAGUAUUCUGGGGAUGAGAAUGUGCAUCUUCAAUAUGUACCCAUUUGUUCCUCUUUAGUGCAUUUAAAUCUAUAUGUCGCAAGUAAAAGCCUCGGGUGGCGAGUUGAUACAAUUCUGGGAGGUUAAAACGCCCCUCAGACUCUGGGAGGUUAAAACGCCCCUCUGGGAGGUUAAAACGCCCCUCAGACUCUGGGAGGUUAAAACGCCCC